AUUCGUCACCGUUUUCACGAAGUGGCCUCAGUGGCCAAAAUCGUUGAAAUUUUUAAUUUCGAGUUUUGACCGUUUUUGAGCAAUGUAUAUAAAUGUCUACAACUUCAGUAAUUUUCAAAGUCUAAUCUUGCUUAAUUACGUCAUACGUGACGUCACGAAACGUAUCACAAGCGGUACAACUGGCAAACACCGUUUUCACGAAGUGGCCUCUUACGCGCAAAUGUAGUCUGCUAUUGAUAAUCGUACACGAACCGGCUCCGCGAAGCCUUUGUCACAGAUGCCGGUGCUUCUGGCGGAAUUGUUAGAGGAAUCUGACAGCCCUAGUAGAAUAGCCGGCUGAGAGGACCAUCACUAGCACUCCCAGGCCCAGUGGCUGAUGUCUAAGUAGGAGUUUGACGUGGAGAGCUUUUAGCAUGUUGUUGAGUUUACCAGUAGAAUAGACAGCUGGGAUACGCAAGAGAUGAGGGACCACUAGCACCCCCAGUGGUUGAUGUCCAUGUAGGAGUUUGUGCAGCUGAUGUGGAGAGCUUUUAGCAAAUUGACAAGGGGGAAGGGGGUGAAGAAGGAGAGUUACACUAAUUUGUGUUGUUUCAUCUCAGAAAAAAAAAAAUAAUAUGCAUUAACCUGAUGCCUGUAAUUUUUUGAAGAGAUGCGAUUUUAAAAUCAUAUCAUCCCAGUAUAGCUUCCUGUACGAGCUGUGUUGGGGGUUUUCUGCAUCCAUCAUGAGUUAUCAAAUAUAUUCUCCUUUUAACCCAGCAUCUUCACCCUCUGCCCUUGAACUGAUUGCUUUUCAAAUACCACGGUUUGGAGGUCAGACCAAACGACUGACAGACCGACCGACUGAAUAGCUAAGUCCCCUCAGUCAUCAAAGGAUGGACAAAAAUACAGAAGUUAUUGUUAGGUGGGAUCGUGAUGGAGAGAUCAAUUGUGGCAAGAAACGAGAUCUUCGAUAUAACGGAAGGCUUAGGGUGGGUUCAAGAGUCACUAUGAGCUAGAUGGAUGUGGACUGGACGGGGACUGCAACGCUGACAGGAGACUCUGACUCCGAAUGUGCCUCCAUUUAGAGGUUUUGUGGUCUAGUGGAUAAGUCGUUGGACUGUGGAUCACAGGAUCCAUGGUUCAAGUCCCGCCACAGCAGUAAUGUCUUUUGGCAAGAUAUUAAUCUAAAUU